rnacentral:rRNA from 1 species
UACGGAGGGUGCGAGCGUUGUCCGGAAUUACUGGGCGUAAAGGGCUCGUAGGCGGCCAACUAAGUCAGACGUGAAAUCUCUCGGCUUAACCGGGGAACUGCGUCUGAUACUGGAUGGCUUGAGAUUGGGAGAGGGGUGCGGAAUUCCAGGUGUAGCGGUGAAAUGCGUAGAUAUCUGGAGGAACACCGGUGGCGAAGGCGGCAUCCUGGACCAACACUGACGCUGAGGAGCGAAAGCCAGGGGAGCAAACGGG